UGGUGGGGGGAGAGGAGCUGAGCGUGGUGGGCUCCAAGUGGGGCACCUGUGAGGCCAUCGAGGGCAGGAGGCCGAUUGAAAUGAGGGUGCUGGGCUUGGGAGCAAGGCCGGGACUUCAGAUCCUGGAGGACCAAGCCUGGCCUGAGCCGCCGCCUGCAGGAAGGGCCGGCAUCCCGGGAGGUUCGGGGAUGCUGCAGGUCAGUGAGGAGCCUCCGGGCUGCAGGCCGAAGAACAGCUGGCAAGAUGCGGCUCUACUGCUGAGGGGUUCGCCUGCCACCCGUGGUGGCUUGCCCAGCAGCAUGCAAUGACGUCAGGACCGUUUGGGUCUGCACUCUUGCCACCCUCGGUGUCCCGCGCAGACAGGACUGCUGUCUGGUCCACGAGAGGCAGUUCUUGCAGGAGCCUUCCCUCGGUGGGCCCCACCUGCCCCGAGUGGCCAGGAGAGGCUCCGACGGUGUGAGUUUGGGGCUGGACGUCUGCUGGCAGAGGCAGGUGUGGGCAAGUGGGUGCCUGCUGGAGAGACACUGGCAGUGCCUGUCACACCCUCGUUUCAGAGGGCAGAGAGAAGACGGACGUGGAGGGGCAAGGUCAGAGAGCAAGAGUGAAGAUGCAGUUUCAGAAAGAAGGUGAAGUGUGGCUUCUUCACAUAUGGCAGCAUCUCCGCAAUAGCCAGGAACAGGCUGCGGACACACGCUGCCCCGGGAGGGAGCUCCCACGUCAUGAGACUUCCCCAAAAGGGCCAGACGUAAGAGGCCACACGCACCGUUACUGUUUAUGUGAAACGUCCAGAAAAGGUGAAGUUAUAUAAAGGGAAGCCUGGACUAAGGGUGGGAACAGGGAUUAGCCGUAAAAUGGAAACGAGUCUUUUGAAGGCGACAGAAAUGUUCUUAAAACUGGAUCAAUGGGUGCCCAACACUGAAGGUUCACUACAAACCCUUGGAUGGUGUGCCUCAAACAGGUGAAUUUUAUGGUAUGUAAAUUAUACUGUGACAGAGCGGCUAAAAAAAGGAAGAAGGUAAUUUAGUCGCCAGUGCUACAUGUUGCAGAGAGAGUGAGCAAGCCCGGAAGAGGCUGUGUUCAGCGCUGCCAGGCAGCGGGUCCUGUGCAGAGAGCAGGGCCAGCGCCAGAGGUGAGGCACCUGGCCUGCCAGGUGGGCCACUUAAACCAGGACAAGAGCAUCUUUCUCUCAUAUUCGUGUUUUAAAGCUGAAGAAUUUCCCUGUUGGAUUUGGAAACAGUAGGACUUUGGGGGGUCAAAGUUUCCUACAACCAACCUAAUAACCAUAAAAGCCUUAGAGAAAUGGAGAGUCCUAGCAAGUCAAAAACCCUGUGUGUCGCAUGAUUGAUAGAAGUACGGCUUACUUACUAUGGAUAAAAACCAGAACGUUCUGGGGUAGGAAGGAGGCAGGGAGAGGCCAGCUGGCAGGAAGGGAGCCUGUGGAGACUCUGGAUGGCGAGCAAAAGUUGUGCACCUUGUGGGGGGUGAUUACACAGGUGCAUACAAUUGUGAAAACGAAUCCAGCUGUGCUCUAAGAACUGUGGGUGAAUUAUGCCUCAAAGAGCAUGGAGGACACCCGAGCUGCACACAGAAUGCUGAAUUAGAAGAAUGCAGAGAAAGUGGUUUCUGAGGCUGCACCAGGAAAGGUGAUGCAGUCCUGCCUUGCUUAUGGGGACAAAGACUGGUGCUUGGAACCCUGAGCCGCCACCCCACGCUGGAACGAGGCUCAGCCCCCCCCCCCCUCCUGGUCUCUAAGUCCUUCCAGCCUAAUGGCCCGACCUGUGACCGAACAAACCUUUAGGUGACUCUAGCCCCCGCCCUUGGGUCUUUCCAGCUGAGCCCCCAGACACCACGUGGUGGUAGCAUCAGGGAGCAGCCCUGUGAGCGGCCUUGGGAGGAGCGCAGCUCCAGACAGCAUCCAAGGGCAUCCAGUGGGGCCCGUAAGUGACAGCUGCCAGGUCAAACCGGUCCUAAAUUCUUGACCUUUCAAUUGUGAGAAAAUAAAAUUGAUGUUUCAAGCUA